rnacentral:tRNA from 1 species
CUGGUAAAAAGAAGGCUGAGCUUCCAUAAGCGAAUUUACAGUCCGCCACCUAUCGUCGGCCACUUUACCU